rnacentral:rRNA from 1 species
AACGAACGCUGGCGGCAUGCCUAACACAUGCAAGUCGAACGAGACCUUCGGGUCUAGUGGCGCACGGGUGCGUAACGCGUGGGAACCUGCCCUUGGGUUCGGAAUAACUCCCCGAAGGGGAUGCUAAUACCAGAGAAGCUCUUCGGGCCAAGGAGUUAUCGCCUUGGGAUGGGCGCUGGUUGGAUUAGCUAGUUGGUAGUGUAAAAGCAUACCAAGGCGACGAUGCAUAGCUGGUCGGAGAGGAUGACCAGCAAGACUGGGACUGAGACACGGCCCAGACUCGGACGCGAGGGAGCAGUGGGGAAUAUUGGAGAAUGGGCGAAAGCCUGAUCACGCCAUGUGGCGGGAGUGAUGAAGGCCUUAGUGUUGUAAAGUCCUUUUAGCCGAGAUGAUAAUGACAGUACCGGGAGAAUAAGCACCGGCUAACUCCGUG